AGAAGAAACAACUGAUUGGCUGUGCAGGUCUUGUUGGGGUAUUCUGACCCUGGCUGGAGAGGCUGAGCUGGUCAUUCUGAGAGCAACUGUGAGGGCAGCCUGAGUCUGCUCUGACGCUUUAGAAGGGACAGCGGAUGGACAUUGGAAGGACUGGUGUUCCAGCAGGAGACCAAAGAUUGGGCAUUGCAAAGAGAACUGCAGAACUCUUAAGAUAGUAUUUCCACAUAAAGCAAUGAAUUGAGUAAGGAUAAAAAUCUGAAAGAUGCAGAGGAGACACAUGACAAAAGGCUGGAGUGCAAUGGCGUGAUCUUGGCUCACUGCAAUCUCCACCUCCCUGGAUUCUCCUGCCUCAGCCUCCAGAGUAACUGGUAUUACAGUGUAGGUGGGCAUCCUCCAAUCUGUCAUAGGCCCAAAUAGAACAAAAAGGCUUCAUGAGGAAGAAUUUGCUGUUUCUGUCUUUGAGCCAGGACAUCAGUCUUCUGCCUUCAGACUCAGCCUGGAGCUUACCUCAGCUCUCCUGGUUCUUGGGCCUUUGGACUUGGACUGGAACUACACCAUCUGCUCUCCCGGGCACUUCUCAGCCUCUGUAAUCAUAACAAUCCAUUUCAAAAGCCAUUAGAUGGAGUUGGGCAGGUCAGUGACGAAAGGUCUUCAUUUAUUUUGCUGACGUCUCCUCCCUGAGCUGACCGUUAAAAGCAGAAACGCUCUAGGGCUCCAUCCUCCUUCUGCUCUGUCCGUGCCCUCCUGCUAGUAGAGACGGGGUUUCACCGUGUUAGCCAGGAUGGUCUCGAUCACCUGACCUCGUGAUCCGCCCGCCUCGGCCUCCCAAAGUGCUGGGAUUACAGGCGUGAGCCACCGCACCCGGCCCUGGAUACAUUUUCAAGUGGCCCAACCUUUGGAGGUGAAUGCUGUUGGGAGAGGUGGCUUCUACUCCAGGAGGGCAACAAAAGCUUCUUGACUCAUCUUCCUGCCUGGCCCCUCUCCAGUCUAUUCUCAGUGCAGCGGGCAAGAUGAUUCUGCUGAGAUACCAAUGGAUCACCUUAAUGUUUUUGAGGCUUAUCCAGCAUGUAUCGAUACUUCCUUCCUUUGGAUGACUGAAUAAUAUUCCACGGCAGGGUCUCACCCUGUUGCCUAGGCUGGAGUGCAGAGGCAUGAUCACAGCUCACUGCAGCCUCAACCUCCCCAGGCUCAGGUGAUCCUCCUACAUCAGCUCCUGAGUAACUGGGCCUACAGCAUCUUGCUCUUGUCGCCCAGGCUGGAGUGCAAUGGCACGAUCUGAACUCACUGCAACCUCUGCCUCCUGGGUUCAAGCGAUUCUCCUGCCUCAGCCUCCCAAGUAGCCAGGUUUACAGAGUCUUGCUCUGUCGUCCAGGCUGGAGUGUAGUGGUGUGUCUGGAAUUGGUGGGUUCUUGGUCUCACUGACUUCAAGAAUGAAGCUGCAGACCCUCGCGGUGAGUGUUAACAGUUCUUAAAGGUGGUGUGUCCGGAGUUUGUUCCUUCUGAUGUUCGGACGUGUUCAGAGUUUCUUCCUUCUGGUGGGUUCGUGGUCUCGCUGGCUUCAGGAGUGAAGCUGCAGACCUUCGCGGUGAGUGUUACAGCUCUUAAGGCGGUGCUUCUGGAGUUGCUCAUCCCUCCCGUCGGGAGUUGUUCAUUCCUCCCGGUGGGUUAGUGGUCUCGCUGGCCUCAGGAGUGAAGCUGCAGGCCUUUGUGGUGAGUGUUACAGCUCAUAAAGGCAGUGCAGACCCAAAGAGUGAGCAGCAGCAAGAUUUAUUGCAAAGAGUGAAAGAACAAAGCCUCCACAGCGUGGAAAGGGACCCAAUUGGGUUGCGGCUGAUGGCUAGGGCAGCCUGCUUUUAUUCUCUUAUCCGACCCUCCACCCUUCCCCCCCCCACUCACAUCCUGCUGAUUGGUCCAUUUUACAGAGAGCUGAUUGGUCCAUUUUACAGAGACGGCCCUUUGGCGGUGGAUGGGACCGGGCCCCUCCAAGCAGGCGCGGUGUGUGUCGGGGAGGCUCGGCCAGCGUCGGAGCCAAUUGCCGGGGAGGAGGGGUGGCUCCGGCGUUUCUGGCUGCAGGUCGGGAGCCCUGCCCUGCGGGGAGGCGGCUGAGGCCCGGCGAGAAUUCAAGCGCGGCGCGGUUGGGCCGGCAGUACUGGGGGACCUGGUGCACCCUCUGCAGCUGCUGGCCCGGGUGCUAAGCCCCUCACUGCCCGCGGCCAGCGGUGCUGGCCGGCCGCUCCGAGUGUGGGGCCUGCGGAGCCCGCGUCCACCCGGAACUCGCGCUGGCCCGCUAGCGCCGUGCGCAGCUCCGGUUCCCGCCCACUCCUCUCCCUCUACACCUGCCUGCUAGCAGAGGGAGCCGGCUCCGGCCUCUGCCAGCCCAGAGACGGGCUCCUACAGUGCAGCGGCGGGCUGAAGGGCUCCUCAAGCGCGGCCAGAGUGGACGCCGAGGCCGAGGAGGCGCCCAGAGCGAGUGAGGGCUGCUAGCACGUUGUCACCUCUCAGUGGCAUGAUCUCCGUUCACCGCAACCUCCACCUCUCGGGUUCAAGCGAUUCUCCUGCCUCGGCCUCCCAAGUAGCUGGGAUUACAGGCACAAGCCACCACACCUGGCUAAUUUUUUUUGAGGUUUUAGUAGAGAUGGGGUUUCGCCAUGUUGGCCAGGCCAGUCUUGAACUCCUGGACUCAAGUAAUCCACCUGCCUCAGCCUUCCAAAAUGCUGGGAUUACAGGCAUGAGCCAUCGCGUCCUGCCCUGACCUCUGCUUUCAGCCACAAACUCAGCACAGCACUUGGCACGUGAUACAGGUUCAGUAUAUAUUUUCAAACAAAUAAAUUGAACUGAAGAAUUGAGUCAAGGGGACAAGACCUUUGAAGGCCAAAAGAUUGAAGUUGGUGGUAAUGAGACAUCGAGCUCUGGUUUGAACUAAAAUCCUUUGAAGUGAAAACCUCUUGAGUGGUUGUGAAACUUGAACUUACCAUAAAUAUCUCUUCGUAUUUUUUGAGCCGAUUAAUCCAUGGCUCCCAUAAAAUCUUCUGCAAAUUAAACAACAGGGUAAGAGCACCACGCCUUGCUCUCCCUCCACCACCAACUUGGCAGAGACCUAGACCCAAGGAUGCAGGAGCUGUUCCUCUCCGUCUGAGCCUGCUGGGCUGAAUGGGCAUGAAGAAAGUUGGAGAACGGAACAGGCAAACCAGGCAGAUCCUCCAGCCAACCCCAAGCACUGGGGUACUGCGCCCAACCCCUGGCCCCUGUCACCUACAAACCAAAGCAUACCUGCCCUCUGCCAACUGAAACCGUGUGCCUCUGACUCGGAUGGUGGUCUGGAGUCCCAGCCAAGGAUGGGCUGUGCUACUGGUCUCUGAGGGAAAGUGAACAAAGGGCUUUCCUCUCUGAUGUGAGAGUAUGCUUAUAGAAAUGGGAAACCUGGUCAAAGUAAUAAAACGAAUGCCUUUAAGAU